CGUAGCGGCGGACGGGUGAGUAACGCGUGAGCAACCUGUCCUACAGGGGAUAACACAGCGAAAGUUGUACUAAUACCGCAUGAGACCACGGGGAGACAUCUUUCUGAGGUCAAAGGAGCAAUCCGGUAAGGGGUGGGCUCGCGUCCGAUUAGAUAGUUGGUGAGGUAACGGCCCACCAAGUCGACGAUCGGUAGCCGACCUGAGAGGGUGAUCGGCCACAUUGGGACUGAGACACGGCCCAAACUCCUACGGGAGGCAGCAGUGGGGAAUAUUGGGCAAAAUGGGGGGAACCCUGACCCAGCAACGCCGCGUGAGGGAAGAAGGUUUUCGGAUCGUAAACCUCUGUCCUUGGUGAAGAGUAAGAGACGGUAGCCAAGGAGGAAGCCCCGGCUAACUACGUGCCAGCCGCGGC
rnacentral:rRNA from 1 species